AAAUUGAAGAGUUUGAUCAUGGCUCAGAUUGAACGCUGGCGGCAGGCCUAACACAUGCAAGUCGAACGGUAGCACAGAGAGCUUGCUCUCGGGUGACGAGUG
rnacentral:rRNA from 3 species